CGAAGCCUGACGGAGCAAUACCGCGUGAGGGAAGAAGGCUUUUGGGUUGUAAACCUCUUUUGUCAGGGAAGAAGAAUUGACGGUACCUGAAGAAAAAGCAUCGGCUAACUCCGUGCCAGCAGCCGCGGUGAUACGGAGGAUGCAAGCGUUAUCCGGAAUCAUUGGGCGUAAAGGGUCCGCAGGUGGCGAAUAAAGUCUGCUGUUAAAGACCGGGGCUAAACUCCGGAAAGGCAGUGGAAACUGAUUAGCUAGAGUACGGUAGGGGUAGAGGGAAUUCCCAGUGUAGCGGUGAAAUGCGUAGAUAUUGGGAAGAACACCGGUGGCGAAAGCGCUCUACUAGGCCGAAACUGACACUGAGGGACGAAAGCUAGGGUAGCGAAAGGGAUUAGAUACCCCUGUAGUCUUAGCGGUAAACGAUGGAUACUAGGUGUAGCUUGUAUCGACCCGAGCUGUGCCGAAGCUAACGCGAUAAGUAUCCCGCCUGGGGAGUACGCACGCAAGUGUGAAACUCAAAGGAAUUGACGGGGGCCCGCACAAGCGGUGGAGUAUGUGGUUUAAUUCGAUGCAACGCGAAGAACCUUACCAGGGCUUGACAUGUCGCGAAUCUAGCGGAAACGUUAGAGUGCCUUAGGGAAUGCGAACACAGGUGGUGCAUGGCUGUCGUCAGCUCGUGUCGUGAGAUGUUGGGUUAAGUCCCGCAACGAGCGCAACCCUCGUCCUUAGUUGCCAAUAUUAAGUUAGGCACUCUAGGGAGACUGCCGGGGACAACUCGGAGGAAGGUGGGGAUGACGUCAAGUCAGCAUGCCCCUUACGUCCUGGGCGACACACGUACUACAAUGGUUGGGACAAAGGGCAGCAAGCUCGCGAGAGUAAGCGAAUCUCAUCAAACCCAGCCACAGUUCAGAUUGCAGGCUGCAACUCGCCUGCAUGAAGUAGGAAUCGCUAGUAAUCGCAGGUCAGCAUACUGCGGUGAAUUCGUUCCCGGGCCUUGUACACACCGCCCGUCACACCAUGGAAGCUGGCUACGCCCGAAGUCGUUACCCUAACCCGGUUUUGGGAGGGGGAUGCCGAAGGUAGAGCUAGUGACUGGGGUGAAGUCGUAACAAGGUAGCCGUACCGGAAGGUGUGGCUGGAUCACCUCCUUU
rnacentral:rRNA from 1 species